CCCACUGCAGGAAUGUUAGAUGGCCCUUCUGGCCAAAAGAUGCAAUCAGAAGGGUGGUGAAGAGGAUGGUCAGCCACAAAGGCACACCUUGCUGGUGCAGGAAGCAUUGGAGGAGAGCCAGAGUCAACCUGCAGAUAUCUGGAUCUUGGGAACCAGGUCCCUGAGUACGAUGAUGGCCAGAUUCUGAGACACACAUUUGCUGUAAAGUUGCGUCAACUUGCUACAGAUCUUUAAUGUCGAGAACAUUCAAACAGAAGCAUCCUGAAUGCAACUGGAGAGCCAGGAUUUGAAUUCAAGCUGUGAGUUCUCCCAACUCUCCUUCCCUCACUUGUCAAAAAUGAAAAGGGACCGGACUGGAGAUCCUGGGCCGUCGCAAGUUCCGGGAGCCCCGCCCGGGGCUGACCCAGCAGCCGUCUACUGGUCCGUGGAGCGAACGGCGGGACCCAGGCGCGGAGGGGAGGCGGACAGGUUCCUCCAGCUUGCUCAUCCAGACCAGCAGCCCCGAGGGAGGGCAGGAGGGGUGCACCAGGCAGGAAGCGGACGGGGUCGGGGGGCUUGGGAUGCCCUGGGGUCAGGUGGAGCGGCCGGCCCCUGGUUUUCUCUCGCGCAGGGCGCGGUGGUCACUGUGCAGGGUAAGGUCCAGGCGGCGGGUCGGGUCUCGCCCGCGGGUCUGGGAGAAGGGAAAGCCUCGGAGCACUAGGUGAGAGGUUACAGGGGCCGGGACCUCUCUGAGAUUCCUUGGCCUAUUCACCGAUUUUGUUCUGCUCUUGGUUUUAGUUUAUGUGGAAGGCUCAGCUCCGCACUGGCCCAGGAGGUGCUAGGAACCAGAGUCCGUUGGUCAAAAAUUUUGAAAAAUAGAAAAGAAAAAAUAAUCGCUUAUAGUGCCAGUAUGGAACUAUAAUCUCUCAACAUUUUGGUGUAUUUAUUUUGUUUUUGUUUGUUUGUUUUUUUUUUUGGGGGGGUAAGCCUUUUUUGUUCGAAUCCUAUACUUAUAUAUUAAAAUUUUUUUUCCGUCAUUGUCAUCAUAUCUCCUCUUCAGGUUUCCAGGCUGCUUUUUACAAUUCUUGUACACAGUUUUUUCUAACGUAUUCUUCAUGAGUCUCACCUGAUAUCUGCGUAAUAUUCUGUUUAUAUUUUGACCAAUUAGUCCCCAGUUAGUUGGACAUUUAGGUUGCGUACUUUUUCAUUAUGAUACAGUGGUUUCUAAAUAGUAUGUAAUUUCAAUUUUUGUGUUUUAAUUAUCCUAAGCGUUCUUUAAAAAUGUUACAAUUUUUAAAGUGGACAGAUUUUUUUCCCCAUUUGUUUUUAAUUUUAUUGUCCUGUGGUCUGAGAAUGUGGCUUGUAUUUACGCUUUUGGAAUUUAUUGAGCUUUUGAUAGAUGGUCAAUUUUUAAAAUAACUUUAGGCAUAGUUUUGAAUGAAUGAAUAAAAAAUUCUAUAUAUUAGAUCAAGCUUAGUAAAUAUAUAUUAUCCAUAUUUGCUAUGUUCUUUAUUUUAGUCUACUUGAUGGGUUAAUUUUUGAAAGAACUGUAAUUUUUCAAAAUAUGUUGGUGGAUUUGCCAUUUCCUUUUUAUAUUUCUAACAGAUUCUGCUUUACAUAUUUAUUUAUUUAAAAAAAUUUUGUUCAAGUUUUAUUGAGAUAUGAUUGAUGUGUAACAUUGUAUAAGUUUAAGGUGCACAACAUGAUGGUUUGAUAUAUGUAUACAUUUCAAAAUUAUCACAAUAAAGUUAACUAACACAUUUAUCCCUUCAUAUAGUUACAUUUUUUUCUGUGUGUGUGAGUUGAGACCGUUUAAGAUCUACAGUCUUAGCCACUCUCAAAAAUGCAAUAUAGUAUUGUUAGCUAUAGUCACCAUGCUGUACAUUACUUCCCCAGAACUUACUCAUCUUACAGCUGGAAAUUUGUACCCUUUGAUGGUUUUAUCUCUAUAUUUUAAAGUAACAUUAUAAGGUGUAAAAACCACGUGGCUGUUUAGAUGAUAAACAAAUACACUUAUUGGCAUAUAUAUCUUUUUAUGCAUUUUUGAAUUAUUUUCUUGACCUGGAUUUUCAGAAGAAAAUGGCCUUGAAAGCCAAAUUGGCCUCUUAAGGAUUUGACAAAUGCACAUUGUUGGUUUCCACAUGGUCAGCAAAAGGUAUAAAAAGAACACAAACAAACAAGACGGUAAGAAAUGGGGAUACUUUAAAAACUUUGAUUUUUAUUGAGGUUGACUUUUUUUUUUUUCUGUAGGUCUAAUCAGUUGAAUUUUCUUUUUUUGUGUGUGGAUAGUCCGUUCUCAUCUUU